UGCAAGUCGAACGGUGAUCUCAGAGCUUGCUCUGGGUGAUCAGUGGCGAACGGGUGAGUAACACGUGAGUAACCUGCCCCUGACUUCGGGAUAACUUCGAGAAAUCGGAGCUAAUACCGGAUAUGAAGUUCCCUCGCAUGGGGGUUCUUGGAAAGAUUUAUCGGUUGGGGAUGGGCUCGCGGCCUAUCAGCUUGUUGGUGGGGUGAUGGCCUACCAAGGCGACGACGGGUAGCCGGCCUGAGAGGGUGACCGGCCACACUGGGACUGAGACACGGCCCAGACUACUACGGGAGGCAGCAGUGGGGAAUAUUGCACAAUGGGCGCAAGCCUGAUGCAGCGACGCCGCGUGAGGGAUGAAGGCCUUCGGGUUGUAAACCUCUUUCAGUAGGGAAGAAGCCUUCGGGUGACGGUACCUGCAGAAGAAGCGCCGGCUAACUACGUGCCAGCAGCCGCGGUAAUACGUAGGGCGCAAGCGUUGUCCGGGAAUUAUUGGGCGUAAAGAGCUCGUAGGCGGUUUGUCGCGU
rnacentral:rRNA from 1 species